rnacentral:rRNA from 1 species
AUGGCCGGGGCAGGGCUCGCGGACCAUCUCCUUCCUCCUCGCUUGGGCGCCAUGGCCACCAUCCUCGCAAGAUCCAGCCCAUCUCCUCCGCGUCCGUCGAGUGGGCGUUCCAGUGGACCCGGUCGGCGCCGUCGCUCGCCGCCGAGUUCGUGGGCGGCCCGCUCAAGCGCUGGUGGGAUUGGGGCCUCGGAUGGCUGA